AGCGUACACGGUGGAUGCCCUGGCAGUCAGAGGCGAUGAAGGACGUGCUAAUCUGCGAUAAGCGUCGGUAAGGUGAUAUGAACCGUUAUAACCGGCGAUUUCCGAAUGGGGAAACCCAGUGUGUUUCGACACACUAUCAUUAACUGAAUCCAUAGGUUAAUGAGGCGAACCGGGGGAACUGAAACAUCUAAGUACCCCGAGGAAAAGAAAUCAACCGAGAUUCCCCCAGUAGCGGCGAGCGAACGGGGAGCAGCCCAGAGCCUGAAUCAGUGUGUGUGUUAGUGGAAGCGUCUGGAAAGGCGCGCGAUACAGGGUGACAGCCCCGUACACAAAAAUGCACAUACUGUGAGCUCGAUGAGUAGGGCGGGACACGUGGUAUCCUGUCUGAAUAUGGGGGGACCAUCCUCCAAGGCUAAAUACUCCUGACUGACCGAUAGUGAACCAGUACCGUGAGGGAAAGGCGAAAAGAACCCCGGCGAGGGGAGUGAAAAAGAACCUGAAACCGUGUACGUACAAGCAGUGGGAGCCUCUUUUAUGGGGUGACUGCGUACCUUUUGUAUAAUGGGUCAGCGACUUAUAUUCUGUAGCAAGGUUAACCGAAUAGGGGAGCCGAAGGGAAACCGAGUCUUAACUGGGCGUUAAGUUGCAGGGUAUAGACCCGAAACCCGGUGAUCUAGCCAUGGGCAGGUUGAAGGUUGGGUAACACUAACUGGAGGACCGAACCGACUAAUGUUGAAAAAUUAGCGGAUGACUUGUGGCUGGGGGUGAAAGGCCAAUCAAACCGGGAGAUAGCUGGUUCUCCCCGAAAGCUAUUUAGGUAGCGCCUCGUGAAUUCAUCUCCGGGGGUAGAGCACUGUUUCGGCAAGGGGGUCAUCCCGACUUACCAACCCGAUGCAAACUGCGAAUACCGGAGAAUGUUAUCACGGGAGACACACGGCGGGUGCUAACGUCCGUCGUGAAGAGGGAAACAACCCAGACCGCCAGCUAAGGUCCCAAAGUCAUGGUUAAGUGGGAAACGAUGUGGGAAGGCCCAGACAGCCAGGAUGUUGGCUUAGAAGCAGCCAUCAUUUAAAGAAAGCGUAAUAGCUCACUGGUCGAGUCGGCCUGCGCGGAAGAUGUAACGGGGCUAAACCAUGCACCGAAGCUGCGGCAGCGACGCUGAUGCGUUGUUGGGUAGGGGAGCGUUCUGUAAGCCUGUGAAGGUGUGCUGUGAGGCAUGCUGGAGGUAUCAGAAGUGCGAAUGCUGACAUAAGUAACGAUAAAGCGGGUGAAAAGCCCGCUCGCCGGAAGACCAAGGGUUCCUGUCCAACGUUAAUCGGGGCAGGGUGAGUCGACCCCUAAGGCGAGGCCGAAAGGCGUAGUCGAUGGGAAACAGGUUAAUAUUCCUGUACUUGGUGUUACUGCGAAGGGGGGACGGAGAAGGCUAUGUUGGCCGGGCGACGGUUGUCCCGGUUUAAGCGUGUAGGCUGGUUUUCCAGGCAAAUCCGGAAAAUCAAGGCUGAGGCGUGAUGACGAGGCACUACGGUGCUGAAGCAACAAAUGCCCUGCUUCCAGGAAAAGCCUCUAAGCAUCAGGUAACAUCAAAUCGUACCCCAAACCGACACAGGUGGUCAGGUAGAGAAUACCAAGGCGCUUGAGAGAACUCGGGUGAAGGAACUAGGCAAAAUGGUGCCGUAACUUCGGGAGAAGGCACGCUGAUAUGUAGGUGAAGCGACUUGCUCGUGGAGCUGAAAUCAGUCGAAGAUACCAGCUGGCUGCAACUGUUUAUUAAAAACACAGCACUGUGCAAACACGAAAGUGGACGUAUACGGUGUGACGCCUGCCCGGUGCCGGAAGGUUAAUUGAUGGGGUCAGCGCAAGCGAAGCUCUUGAUCGAAGCCCCGGUAAACGGCGGCCGUAACUAUAACGGUCCUAAGGUAGCGAAAUUCCUUGUCGGGUAAGUUCCGACCUGCACGAAUGGCGUAAUGAUGGCCAGGCUGUCUCCACCCGAGACUCAGUGAAAUUGAACUCGCUGUGAAGAUGCAGUGUACCCGCGGCAAGACGGAAAGACCCCGUGAACCUUUACUAUAGCUUGACACUGAACAUUGAGCCUUGAUGUGUAGGAUAGGUGGGAGGCUUAGAAGUGUGGACGCCAGUCUGCAUGGAGCCGACCUUGAAAUACCACCCUUUAAUGUUUGAUGUUCUAACGUUGACCCGUAAUCCGGGUUGCGGACAGUGUCUGGUGGGUAGUUUGACUGGGGCGGUCUCCUCCUAAAGAGUAACGGAGGAGCACGAAGGUUGGCUAAUCCUGGUCGGACAUCAGGAGGUUAGUGCAAUGGCAUAAGCCAGCUUGACUGCGAGCGUGACGGCGCGAGCAGGUGCGAAAGCAGGUCAUAGUGAUCCGGUGGUUCUGAAUGGAAGGGCCAUCGCUCAACGGAUAAAAGGUACUCCGGGGAUAACAGGCUGAUACCGCCCAAGAGUUCAUAUCGACGGCGGUGUUUGGCACCUCGAUGUCGGCUCAUCACAUCCUGGGGCUGAAGUAGGUCCCAAGGGUAUGGCUGUUCGCCAUUUAAAGUGGUACGCGAGCUGGGUUUAGAACGUCGUGAGACAGUUCGGUCCCUAUCUGCCGUGGGCGCUGGAGAACUGAGGGGGGCUGCUCCUAGUACGAGAGGACCGGAGUGGACGCAUCACUGGUGUUCGGGUUGUCAUGCCAAUGGCACUGCCCGGUAGCUAAAUGCGGAAGAGAUAAGUGCUGAAAGCAUCUAAGCACGAAACUUGCCCCGAGAUGAGUUCU
rnacentral:rRNA from 1 species